rnacentral:lncRNA from 1 species
CUUCAAGCAGCGGAAGAGGGACAGGGAAAUCAACAAGCUUUACUCCUGAACUGCAAAGUAUGAUUUAAACACUUAUCAAGAACAGCUGCUGUAGUGCUAUGGAUCCUAUCCAUGGACUCAUGGUGGUCUGCUGAACAACGUUCUUCAACUUUGACAGUGGCGUCCAUGGAUCUUGGAUCUGAAUGAAGAUUUGGCUAGAAAUUCUCCACAUCCUAUUCUGUGUUUCCCUCUGAAUAAGAAACAGCAUGUGUGAAUUACAUUUACUAUAAUCCGCUCCAUAC